rnacentral:rRNA from 1 species
ACGCUGGCGGCAUGCCUUACACAUGCAAGUCGAACGGUAACGCGGGGGCAACCCUGGCGACGAGUGGCGAACGGGUGAGUAAUACAUCGGAACAUAUCCUGUAGCGGGGGAUAACCUGUCGAAAGAUAGGCUAAUACCGCAUACGAUCUACGGAUGAAAGCGGGGGACCGCAAGGCCUCGCACUAUAGGAGUGGCCGAUGUCGGAUUAGCUAGUUGGUGAGGUAAAGGCUUACCAAGGCGACGAUCCGUAGCUGGUCUGAGAGGACGAUCAGCCACACUGGAACUGAGACACGGUCCAGACUCCUACGGGAGGCAGCAGUGGGGAAUUUUGGACAAUGGGCGCAAGCCUGAUCCAGCCAUGCCGCGUGAGUGAAGAAGGCCUUCGGGUUGUAAAGCUCUUUCGGCGGGGACGAAACGGUUCGCACUAACACUGCGGACUAAUGACGGUACCCGCAUAAGAAGCACCGGCUAACUACAUGCCUUCAGCCGCGGUAAUACGUAGGGUGCAGGCGUUAUUCGGAAUUACUGGCGGUAAAGCGUGCGCAGGCGGUCCUGUUAAGACAGGUGUGAAAUCCCCGAGCUCAACUUGGGAAUUGCGCUUGUAACUGGCAGGCUAGAGUGUGGCAGAGGGGGGUGGAAUUCCACGUGUAGCAGUGAAAUGCGUAGAUAUGUGGAGGAACACCGAUGGCGAAGGCAGCCCCCUGGGUUAACACUGACGCUCAGGCACGAAAGCGUGGGGAGCAAACAGGAUUAGAUACCCUGGUAGUCCACGCCCUAAACUAUGUCAACUAGUUGUCGGGGAAGAAAUUCCUUGGUAACGAAGCUAACGCGUGAAGUUGACCGCCUGGGGAGUACGGCCGCAAGGUUAAAACUCAAAGGAAUUGACGGGGACCCGCACAAGCGGUGGAUUAUGUGGAUUAAUUCGAUGCAACGCGAAAAACCUUACCUACCCUUGACAUGCCAAGAACCUCGCAGAGAUGUGAGGGUGCCCGAAAGGGAACCUGGACACAGGUGCUGCAUGGCUGUCGUCAGCUCGUGUCGUGAGAUGUUGGGUUAAGUCCCGCAACGAGCGCAACCCUUGCCAUUAGUUGCGACAUUUAGUUGAGCACUCUAAUGGGACCGCCGGUGACAAACCGGAGGAAGGUGGGGAUGACGUCAAGUCCUCAUGGCCCUUAUGGGUAGGGCUUCACACGUAAUACAAUGGUCGGUACAGAGGGCUGCCAACCCGCGAGGGGGAGCUAAUCCCAGAAAGCCGAUCGUAGUCCGGAUUGUAGUCUGCAACUCGACUGCAUGAAGCCGGAAUCGCUAGUAAUCGCGGAUCAGCAUGUCGCGGUGAAUACGUUCCCGGGUCUUGUACACACCGCCCGUCACACCAUGGGAGUGGGUUCCACCAGAAGUAGUUAGCCUAACCGCAAGGAGGGCGAUUACCACGGUGAGAUUCAUG